CCUACGGGAGGCAGCAGUGGGGAAUUUUGGACAAUGGGCGCAAGCCUGAUCCAGCAAUGCCGCGUGAGUGAAGAAGGCCUUCGGGUUGUAAAGCUCUUUUGUCAGGGAAGAAACGGUGGUUCCUAAUACGGACUACUAAUGACGGUACCUGAAGAAUAAGCACCGGCUAACUACGUGCCAGCAGCCGCGGUAAUACGUAGGGUGCAAGCGUUAAUCGGAAUUACUGGGCGUAAAGCGUGCGCAGGCGGUUAUAUAAGUCAGAUGUGAAAUCCCCGGGCUCAACCUGGGAACUGCAUUUGAGACUGUAUGGCUAGAGUGUGUCAGAGGGGGGUAGAAUUCCACGUGUAGCAGUGAAAUGCGUAGAUAUGUGGAGGAAUACCGAUGGCGAAGGCAGCCCCCUGGGAUAACACUGACGCUCAUGCACGAAAGCGUGGGGAGCAAACAGGAUUAGAUACCCUGGUAGUCCACGCCCUAAACGAUGUCUACUAGUUGUCGGGACUUAAUUGUCUUGGUAACGCAGCUAACGCGUGAAGUAGACCGCCUGGGGAGUACGGUCGCAAGNUUAAAACUCAAAGGAAUUGACGGNGUUGAGAGNGCGAGACGACGACGAGGAGAGG
rnacentral:rRNA from 1 species